AUCUAGCUGAUGAGUCCUAAAUAGGACGAAACGCGCAUCAAACUGGAU
rfam:Schistosoma haematobium scaffold663_15, whole genome shotgun sequence.